CCUACGGGAGGCAGCAGUAGGGAAUUUUGCGCAAUGGGCGAAAGCCUGACGCAGCAACGCCGCGUGAUCGAGACGCCCUUCGGGGUGUAAAGAUCUGUCAGUGGGGACGAAACUUGACGGUACCCACAGAGUAAGCACCGGCUAACUCCGUGCCCGCAGCCGCGGUAAUACGGGGGGUGCAAGCGUUGUCCGGAAUCAUUGGGCGGAAAGAGUUCGUAGGCGGCACGUAAAGUCUGGUGUUAAAGGCAGAGGCUAAACUUCUGUACGGCACUGGAUACUUGCGAGCUAGAAUGCGGCAGAGGUAAAGGGAAUUCCUGGGGUAGCGGUGAAAUGCUGAGAUAUAACGAAGAACUCCGAUGGCGAAGGCAGCUCACUGGACUGCAACUGACACUGAGGCUCGAAAGUGUGGGUAUCAAACAGGAUUAGAUACCCGAGUAGUC
rnacentral:rRNA from 1 species